AUGAACGCUAGCGACAGGCCUAACACAUGCAAGUCGAGGGGCAUCGGGGCGUAGCAAUACGCUGCCGGCGACCGGCGGAUGGGUGAGUAACGCGUAUGCAACCUACCUUCAGCAGGGGGAUAGCCCGUUGAAAGACGGAUUAAUACCCCAUAACACAGGGGCUCCGCAUGGAGAUUAUUGUUAAAGGGAUGCUUCCUUCGGGGAGUAUUCCGGCUGCAGAUGGGCAUGCGUUCCAUUAGGUAGUUGGUUGAGGUAACGGCUCACCAAGCCUACGAUGGAUAGGGGAACUGAGAGGUUGGUCCCCCACACUGGUACUGAGACACGGACCAGACUCCUACGGGAGGCAGCAGUAGGGAAUCUUGCGCAAUGGACGGAAGUCUGACGCAGCAACGCCACGUGUGGGACGACGCCUUUCGGGGUGUAAACCACUGUUAGCAGGGACUAGCCUACGACGUAGGUCGUACCGAAUGUACCUGCAGAGAAAGCACCGGCAAACUUCGUG
rnacentral:rRNA from 1 species